UUUGAUGAGCGAUGGCACGUUGAAUUCACGAGUUCUCAAUGGUUCACUGAGGUUAAGAAACUUUGCGCGUGAUUAGUAUCCGGAUGGGUGACCAUCUGAGCAAUCACGUUUUGGUAAAA
rnacentral:rRNA from 1 species